rnacentral:rRNA from 1 species
CCUGAUCCAGCAAUGCCGCGUGAGUGAUGAAGGCCUUCGGGUUGUAAAGCUCUUUCGCACGCGACGAUGAUGACGGUAGCGUGAGAAGAAGCCCCGGCUAACUUCGUGCCAGCAGCCGCGGUAAUACGAAGGGGGCUAGCGUUGUUCGGAAUUACUGGGCGUAAAGGGCGCGUAGGCGGUGUGUCAAGUCAGGCGUGAAAGCCCCGGGCUCAACCUGGGAACCGCGCUUGAGACUGGCACGCUAGAGUUCGGGAGAGGAUGGUGGAAUUCCCAGUGUAGAGGUGAAAUUCGUAGAUAUUGGGAAGAACACCGAUGGCGAAGGCAGCCAUCUGGACCGACACUGACGCUGAGGCGCGAAAGCGUGGGGAGCAAACAGGAUUAGAUACCCUGGUAGUCCACGCCGUAAACGAUGAGUGCUAGACGUCGGGGCCCUUAGGGCUUCGGUGUCGCAGCUAACGCGUUAAGCACUCCGCCUGGGGAGUACGGCCGCAAGGUUA